GACGAACGCUGGCGGCGUGCCUAAUACAUGCAAGUAGAACGCACAGUUUAUACCGUAGCUUGCUACACCAUAGACUGUGAGUUGCGAACGGGUGAGUAACGCGUAGGUAACCUGCCUGGUAGCGGGGAAUAACUAUUGGAAACGAUAGCUAAUACCGCAAAAUAUUAAUUAUUGCAUGAUAAUUAAUUGAAAGGUGCAAUUGCACCACUACCAGAUGGACCUGCGUUGUAUUAGCUAGUAGGUGAGGUAACGGCUCACCUAGGCGACGAUACAUAGCCGACCCGAGAGGGUGAUCGGCCACACUAGGACUGAGACACGGCCCAGACUCCUACGGGAGGCAGCAGUAGGGAAUCUUCGGCAAUGGACGAAAGUCUGACCGAGCAACGCCGCGUGAGUGAAGAAGGUUUUCGGAUCGUAAAGCUCUGUUGUAAGAGAAGAACGGGUGUGAGAGUGGAAAGUUCACACUGUGACGGUAUCUUACCAGAAAGGGACGGCUAACUACGUG
rnacentral:rRNA from 1 species